ACAAAAGCGUUGAUGAGGAGGAGUACAUGUUCUUCCGGAUGAACAGAGAGGAGAUGGCUGGUGAAAAUCUCCGUGAAGGGAACAUGGAAGUAGCCUUUGAGCUUUGGAUUGAACGGAGGACGGCGGCGGGUGUCUGCCCGGCGGAUUCGGAUUCCAAGUAGACUCCAACGGAGAUUUCCACCGUUAUCAGGGAAAGCGAUAUCGGAAGACCGGGAGGUUUUCCCGUAUUGUAUUAAGUGCAGAAGUCUCUUCUGAAUUUAGGUGGUACCACGGACAUAUUGUUCGCCCUAAGC
rnacentral:ncRNA from 1 species